AUUUGUAACCAUUUUCUGUCAAUUUUAUAUAUGUUGUUAUGUUCUACAUGUACUUCAUAAUGUUUAGUCACAUCUCUGUCUUCAAAAUACUUGUAUGUGCAUCUCUUUUUCACUUUUGCAUGUUAAGGGAUAAUUAUAUAAGUGCUCAGGGUAUUUAUUAAAGAAUAUUUUUAUCAUUGAAAUCCAUACCUUUCUGUUUAAGUUUCAGGAGUUGAUACUAUGUGACACUUUUCUAAACUUACUACAGAUUUUAGUUGCCAAAUUAUUUUGAAAGCCGAAAAAACUUAUUCACGGCCAAAUCAAAGGAAACCGGUAUGUUUAAUUAUUUGCACCACAAUUUUACUGCUGGUUUCACCCUCUCAUUUUGUGCUGCAUCUGUUCAUCUGUCAUAACUUUAUAUUGUAUUUUUCUAAGCAACUGUCAGUUAGGUCAUUGUGAUAGAUGGAAUCAAGCACUUUAAUUUAUUUGUCAAAAAACAAAAAUUCUUUAUAAGAUUUUUACCACAUUUUUUCUGAUUGACAUUUAUAUUUUUUCAAGAUUCAAAAAGUUAUAUUCAAAGAUGUGUAUAGAAUAACUUCAUAAGAAC
rnacentral:lncRNA from 1 species